UGAUUAGACUCAGAAUAAACG
rnacentral:piRNA from 1 species